rnacentral:rRNA from 1 species
UGCUUUACACAUGCAAGUCGAACGGAUCUAGGGGCUUGCUCCUAGGUUAGUGGCGAACGGGUGAGUAAUGCAUCGGAACGUACCGUGUAGUGGGGGAUAACCCGGCGAAAGUCGGAUUAAUACCGCAUACGAUCUACGGAUGAAAGCGGGGGAUCGCAAGACCUCGCGCUAUACGAGCGGCCGAUGUCGGAUUAGCUAGUUGGUAGGGUAAAGGCCUACCAAGGCAACGAUCCGUAGCGGGUCUGAGAGGAUGAUCCGCCACACUGGGACUGAGACACGGCCCAGACUCCUACGGGAGGCAGCAGUGGGGAAUUUUGGACAAUGGACGCAAGUCUGAUCCAGCCAUGCCGCGUGAGUGAAGAAGGCCUUCGGGUUGUAAAGCUC